CAAGUCGAACGGCAGCACGGGAGCAAUCCUGGUGGCGAGUGGCGAACGGGUGAGUAAUACAUCGGAACGUGCCCUGUCGUGGGGGAUAACUAGUCGAAAGAUUAGCUAAUACCGCAUACGACCUGAGGGUGAAAGCGGGGGACCGUAAGGCCUCGCGCGAUAGGAGCGGCCGAUGUCUGAUUAGCUAGUUGGUGGGGUAAAGGCCCACCAAGGCGACGAUCAGUAGCUGGUCUGAGAGGACGAUCAGCCACACCGGGACUGAGACACGGCCCAGACUCCUACGGGAGGCAGCAGUGGGGAAUUUUGGACAAUGGGGGCAACCCUGAUCCAGCAAUGCCGCGUGUGUGAAGAAGGCCUUCGGGUUGUAAAGCACUUUUGUCCGGAAAGAAAUCCCUUGCCCUAAUACGGCGGGGGGAUGACGGUACCGGAAGAAUAAGCACCGGCUAACUACGUGCCAGCAGCCGCGGU
rnacentral:rRNA from 1 species